AACGAACGCUGGCGGCAGGCCUAACACAUGCAAGUCGAGCGAGGACUUCGGUCCUAGCGGCGGACGGGUGAGUAACGCGUGGGAACGUGCCCUUUGCUUCGGAAUAGCCCUGGGAAACUGGGAGUAAUACCGGAUGAGCCCUUUGGGGGAAAGAUUUAUCGGCGAAGGAUCGGCCCGCGUUGGAUUAGGUAGUUGGUGGGGUAAUGGCCUACCAAGCCGACGAUCCAUAGCUGGUUUGAGAGGAUGAUCAGCCACACUGGGACUGAGACACGGCCCAGACUCCUACGGGAGGCAGCAGUGGGGAAUCUUAGACAAUGGGGGAAACCCUGAUCUAGCCAUGCCGCGUGAGCGAUGAAGGCCUUAGGGUUGUAAAGCUCUUUCAGCUGGGAAGAUAAUGACGGUACCAGCAGAAGAAGCCCCGGCUAACUACGUG
rnacentral:rRNA from 1 species